CUGGCAGACUUUGUCUGCAAACACAGGUGUGGUUAAAGACAUCCAGGUAAUCUAUAUAUGCUAAAAAUAAGUAAUGCAGAAAAUAAGCAGAGUUGUUACUUAGGUAAGCUUUAAAACUGCUAAAUAACUGACAUCAAGUUUUCUAUUUUAUUGAGGUGGUGGAUGAUGAUGUCAGGAUUAGGUACCUCUAGAAUAGGGGAGCUUGGAGGUUGCAAGAGUAAAAUCCUAUUAAUGUCACAAUUUCACACAGAAGAAAUAGAAAUUAAUUAAAUUUUAUUUCUCUGUGAUAUUUACCUGAUAAAUAAUAGAUUUUUCUCUCUCACAGACUAUUUGCUGUUUGGGUCCGGCUCUGGACCGUCCUGGCUCUGUGGUGGAGCUGGCUGUGGACAGAGGGGACCUUCCAAGUCAGGCAAGACCCCUGCGACUGCAGGGCUGCGGGAGCAACGGCAGGUAUUUCCAGAGAAUAUCUGGAGAGCCGGUGUAUUCUGCUCCUGCUCAUUCCUUCUCGUUGAGAACCCGGACUAGCGAUUCCUGACCCCGUCCUGCCUAGUGAGAGCGCAGGAAUGUGGCUGUGAAACAGUCCUGGAGCACAGAAGAGCCGCAACUGAGCAUGGAUCAGCUGAAGAGCACUGAGAUGUCUGUGGAGCUCGCUCCAAAGAAACUAUAAAGCUGCGGCUCACACAAAAAAAAAAAAAAAAAAAAAAAAAGAAAGAAAGAAAAA